CAAUAGGCUACCUGCCACCCCAUUUGCACCAUAUUUGAUAAGCAAAUAUGGUGCAAAUAAACAAAUGGCGAACUUCAGUGUCACUUUUUGCUGAAGGAGUGAAAUAUGUCUGCAGGUUAACUUUCUGGUAAACUAUUCAUUCACUUUUAAGUCUUCAUGUUUGUACUCAUGUGCUUACUGUAGGCUGGUAAUAGCAGGAGUCUCUCUGGGGGAGGAGAAGAGAGAAACCCUGCCUCCAAAGUAUUUCUGGGGAGAACAACUCUGAUGAACACAUGGGAGAGACCAGACUCACCUGUACCCAGCUGUGUGUCCAUGAAGAGGGAACCUAUAGAGAGAACCUAUAGAGAUUAGACAGGGACCAUUCACUCCUAAAAAUAGGGAUCAAUCCAACUCCCCUGUACCUAGCUGUGUGUCCAUGAAGAGUAACCAGUCCAUUAGAGAACCUAUAGAAUUCAGAGAAGGACCUUUUCAAACUAACCAAAGGGUCCAGCAGGAGAGACCAGACUCCCCUGUACCCAGUGGUAUAUCCAUGAAGAGUGACCAGUCAAAGAGAGCCUGUAGAAUACCGGACUGGAGACUUUCCUCCAAAACAAGAGUAAAAAGUCUUGAGAGUGCGAUGUGAGUGCGAUUUCCAGAGAUAACAAAGCUUAGCAAUGGUACUUGCCUUGUUCCUACACAGAGUACCCAGAGACCAAUAUGAGAAGUCAGAGUCAUAAAUUCCAAAUGGUCAGUCUGCCCCAAGUCAUGAAAUGGACCUGUUCUCCAUAUUUAAGGUGGGUUGUCUUAAUUUGCUCGUGCUGGAAAAUGGCUUCGAAACCUCGAUUCUUACCUCCAAGACUGUUUUGACUUAAUACUCUAUGUCAUUUUGAAUUGUUUGUUGCAAUUGCUUGAAUGCAAUGUCAUCUCUUUUGUGACGAAUGAAUUGAAGAGGUUCCAGAGGAUUCUUUGUAAAUAUUACACAGAUAAACAUACUGAGAAUGAGAAGCAGGAGAGCAGUGCCAGAGAAGGGGCUCUGAAGACCACACUGCACGUUCUGAGGAACAUGAACCAGAAGGAGCUGGCUGACUCGCUGGAGAAACAUAAGAAUUCAAGUCUUUGUUGGUCUGAGGCUAGAUCCUCUUUACCUACAGCAAAAAAUCUGAUGCAUUGAGUAGGGCAGUUAACCCCCAACAACAACUGCUCCUCUGGCGCCAAUGACGUGAACGUAGAUUAAGGCAGCACCCGCACCUCUGAUUCAGAGGGGUUGUAUUUAUUAUGGAUUCCCAACUACUCUUCCUGGGGUCCAACAAAACUAAGGCAGUUACACAAUUUAAAAACAUUACAAUACAUUCACAACCGAUUUCACAACACAUUAAGUGUGUUCCCUCAGGCCACUAAUGUUACUCUACCACCACAUAUUUACAACACAAAAUCCAUGUGUACAUGUGUGUAUAGUGCAUAUGUUUUCAUGUGUUUAUAUGCAUGUGUCUGUGCCUAUGUUUGUGUUGUUUCAGUCCCGCUCUUCCAUAAUUUUUAAAAUAUAUAUUUUUAAUGAUUUUACUGCUUGCAUUAGUUACUUAAUGUGGUAUAGAGUUCUGUGUAGUUAUGGCUCUAUGUAGCACUGUGCGCCUCCCAUAGUCUGUUCUGGACUUGGACAGUGAAGAGACCUCUGCUGGCAUGUCUUGUGGGGUAUGGCUGGGUGUCUGAGCUGUGAUUUAGCAGUUUAAACAGACAGCUCGGUGCAUUCAACAUGUCAAAACAUCUCACAAAUACAAGUAGUGAUGAAGUCAAUCUCUCCUCUACAUUGAGCCAGGAGAGAUUGAUAAUUUUAGCUCUCCCUGUACAUUUUAGGGCCAGCCGUGCUGCCCUGUUCUGGGCCAAUUGGAAUUUUCCUAAAUCCCUCUUUGUGGCACCUGACCCCACGAUUGGACAGUAGUCCGGGUGCGACAAAACUAAGGGCUUUAUGACCUGCCUUGUUGAUAGCGUUAUUAAGAAGGCAGAGUAGCGCUAUAUUAUGGACAAACCUUUCCCCAUCUUCGCUACUGUUGCAUCUGACCAUGACCGUUUACAAUCCAUGGUUAUGCCAAGAAGUUCAGUUUCCUCAAUUUGCUCAAUUUCCACAUUAUUAAUUACUAGAUUUAUUUGAGGUUAAAUGUUUUAGUGAAUGAUUUGUCCCAAAUACAAUGCUUUUAGUUUUUGAAACAAUUAGGACCAACUAUACUGAAAAAAUACUGACUGCAGCUCUUUGUUAGGUGUUGCAGUGAUUUCACUUGCUGUGGUAGCUGACAUGUAUAGUGUUGAGUCAUCAGCAUACAUAGACACACAGGCUUUUCUCAGAGCCAGUGGCAGGUCAUUAGUAAAAAUUGAAAAAACUAAGGAGCUUAGACAUCUGCCCUGGGGAAUGCCUGACUCUACCUGGAUUAUGUUGGAGAGUCUUCCAUUAAAGAAUACCCUCUGUAACUCUCAAUCCACAAUAUAGCAGGGGAUGUAAAGCCAUAACACAUACAUUUUUCCAGCAGCAGAUUAGGAUCGAUAAUGCCAAAAUCUAUACUGAAGUCAAACACAAUAGCUUCCACAAUCUUUUUAUUAUACAUUUUUCUCAGGCAAUCAGUCAUUUGUGUAAGUACUGUACAUGUUGAUGUGCAUGUUGAAUGCCCUUCCCUAUAAGCAUGCUGAAAAUCUGUUAAUUUGUUUACUGUGAAAAAACAUUGCAUUUGGUCAAACACAUUUUUUUCCACAGUUUACUAAGGGUUGGUAACAGGCUGAUUGGUCAGCUGUUCAAGACAGUAAAGGGUCCUUUGCUAUUCUUGGGUAGAAGAAUGACUUUUGCUUCCCUUCAGGCCUGAGGGCACAAACUUUCCUGUAGGCUUAGAUUAAAGAGAUGGCAAAUAGGAGUGACAAUAUCAUCUGCUAUCAUCCUCAGUCAUUUUCCAUCCAAGUUGUCAAACCUAGGUGGCUUGUUAUUGUUGAUAGACAACAAUAAAUGUUACACCUCUUCCACACUCGCUUUCCUGAAUUCUAAAUGACAAUACUUGUCUUUCAUAAUGUGGUCAGUUUUGCAUGGUUGUGUGGGUUCAGAAUGUGUUGUUGGCAUGUUAUGCCUAAGUGAGUGAACUAACCUUGCCAAUCAUUAAAGUAGUUGGCAUCAGUGGAUUUAGUGAUGAAUGAGCCACCCCCAAUUAUAAUUGUAUUUUUAUUUUUGGGGGGACAUUGUUCUGCCGGCCAACAAAAGGGCUUAGAGUGCAUUCGGAAAGUAUUCAGACCCCCUGACAUUUUCCACAUUUUGUUACGGUACAGCGUUAU